CGCGUAGGCGGCUUUUUAAGGGUGCGGUGAAAGUCCGGGGCUCAACCCCGGAUCGGCCGUGCCGACUGGAAGGCUUGAGCACUGUAGAGGCGAGUGGAAUUCCGGGUGUAGCGGUGGAAUGCGUAGAGAUCCGGAAGAACACCGGUGGCGAAGGCGGCUCGCUGGGCAGUGGCUGACGCUGAUGCGCGACAGCGUGGGGAGCAAACA
rnacentral:rRNA from 1 species